rnacentral:rRNA from 1 species
GUGUCAGCAGCCGCGGUAAUACGAAGGUGGCAAGCGUUGUUCGGAUUUACUGGGCGUAAAGGGAGCGUAGGUGGUUAGGUAAGCCCUCCGGGAAAUCUUCAGGCUUAACCUGAAAAGGUCGGGGGGGACUGCCUAGCUAGAGGGCGGGAGAGGAGCGCGGAAUUCCCGGUGUAGCGGUGAAAUGCGUAGAGAUCGGGAGGAAGGCCGGUGGCGAAGGCGGCGCUCUGGAACGUUUCUGACACUGAGGCUCGAAAGCGUGGGGAGCAAACAGGAUUAGAUACCCUCGUAGUCC